GUGUUCAUACAGAUCUAUAGCAAUAGUUCCUGAGUUCUUUCAUUUUCAUGGCAGAAAACCUCGUUCACGGAUGCUAGCAAUGGUGUCAAAGAGAGUUUGUUCAUAAGGUAUGAAUCCUCCAAUUAGCUCUGUAGUUUUCUUGUUCCCAAUCUUCUCGGGGGGGAUUCCAUCGUAUCUUCCGGCAUGAGGAAUUCCAACGCUCGUUUCAGGAACACCCCUACCCAUACAAAUCUCAUUACGCUUUGAACAAAACUGAACAAAAAGGAAUGAAAGUAAACUCACUCGUGGGCACAGCAGCGAAGCUGGGGGAACUUUUCCUUGACCGAUUUCAGGACGUCUCUGUGGGAAACGCUCAGUGCAACGCAAAAGUAGCGCCCCAAAGCAGCCUCGUUCUCGACUGCCAAAAUGUGAGCUUUUGCAACAUCUCUCACGUCCAUGAGAGAAAUGUAAGAAUUUGGCGAAGGAUUCCGGGAACCUGGAUUAUCACAAACAAGAUAAAUGUCUGUACGAGAAAACCAAGGAAACAACAGUCAAACCUUCUACAACUUCCUUGAGAUAUUCGCUGCUAGUGUUAAGGGUUUGUUGCAAGAGAGGACCAAACACGUAAACCGGGCACACCACAAUAAGUUUGAGCCCUUUCUCUUUGGCAAACUUCCAUGCCGUCUUCUCUGCCUCGGUCUUGGCAACCACGUACCACAGCUGCAAAACGAAGUCCAACGUACAAGAGUCAAGAGUCAAAUUAAGUCAAAAGCCAGUCCCAAUUACUUGCCUCGUUUUUGCGGCAGUGGUCAACGUUCGUCCAGCAGCGCUCAUCAACCACCUUGUCCUCGGGACGAUCCGGGUCAAAUAUGACCGCUGCGCCGGAGGAGGUCAUCACCACUCGCUUGAUCUUCUCGUAGUCGAGAGCAUCGGCUUUGAACAGCUUGAGCCUCUCCCCAGCUCCUGGGAGCUGCUUGAGAUUAUUCCACACUUCGCAUUGUUACCUGAUGUUCUAUGGAUCAAAGGUGAAAGGAAGUCUAUGCUUACUUGGGUCGCGCACGGUGCCGUGAACAGUAUAGCCUUUCUCCAGAAGCUGCUUUACAAUCCAAGAGGCAAUGAAACCCCCGGCUCCAGUCACACACACGACCUUCUUGCUUGCUUCCAUUGCCAUGCUCUUUGCUCUAUUUUGCUACUUAUUUUCUCUAUAGCUUGCGCUAUUUAUACACUCUAUGAAGUCUUCAGGAAUUUCCGCUUGCCUUCUGAGGAAGCAUCCUGGAGCACUGUGGCGUCGCAAAUGGAGCACUGUGGCGCCGUACUGUUUAACUUAAUUGGUAGAAUUUAAUGUUUUAUAGAUGGGGACGCUAUUAAUCGUGCUAUUUAACUUAUUUAUUGUGACUGAAUCAGAUGUCUCGGCUAGGUGAGGAUCGUGUUGAAGUUCCAACCCAAGAGGCAUCAGGAGGGGCAACAGGCAGUGAAGCCGAGGUCGGGGACAGAAGGCGUGGUGGUAACAGACCUGAAGGAGCUUAGUGAACGAAUGACUCAUGAGAUUAUCAAAACAGCUUAUUAUAAUCUGUCGGUCUCAUGCUCCACAAGACCCCGUAAACAGUUAAUGAAUGAGUUAAUAAUCUAUUGCACCUUUUGCAGCUGCUACACUAAUUUCAGGUGAGAAUUCAGUGUUAUGAAAUGCAAAAUGCGCUUUGAAGUUGCUGAUGGUACACAGAGGCGACAGUAGCAGCAAGGGAGGGUUCAAUUUUCAAUCUUCUCCUGCAUUUUUACUUCCCUCCAAAGACUAUCAAGCUCGGAACACGUCGCACUCCAGUAGGGCAUCCAACUCACUUGGACAAUUUAGCAAAAUAUAAGACCUGCGUUCUCUUUGAGUAAGCAAGAACUUAAACAAUACGCACAUUCAUUCAUUUUCGUUUUCAUACAGAUCUAUAGCAAUAGUCCUUGAGUUCUUUCAUUUUCAUGGCAGAAAACCUCGGUCACGGAUGCUAGCAAUGAUGUCAAAGAGAGUUUGUUCAUAAGGUAUGAAUCCUCCAAUUAGCUCUGUAGUUUUCUUGUUCCCAAUCUUCUCGGGGGGGAUUCCAUCGUAUCUUCCGGCAUGAGGAACUCCAAAGCUCGUUUC
rnacentral:lncRNA from 1 species